rnacentral:rRNA from 1 species
UACGGAGGGUGCGAACGUUAAUCGAAGAUCACUGGGCGUAAAGCGCGCGUAGGCGGUCUGUUAAGUGGGAUGUGAAAUCCCCGGGCUUAACCUGGGAAUUGCAUUUCAAACUGGCCGACUAGAGUACGGUAGAGGGAGGUAGAAUUUCCCUGUGUAGCGGUGAAAUGCGUAGAUAUAGGAAGGAAUACCAGUGGCGAAGGCGGCCUCCUGGAUCGAUACUGACGCUGAGGCGCGAAAGCGUGGGGAGCAAACAGG